rnacentral:rRNA from 2 species
AGUGACAGGUGGUGCAUGGUUGUCGUCAGCUUGUGUCGUGAGAUGUUGGGUUAAGUCCCGCAACGAGGGCAACCCUUAAGCUUAGUUGCCAUCAUUAAGUUGGGCACUCUAGGUUGACUGCCGGUGACAAACCGGAGGAAGGUGGGGAUGACGUCAAAUCAUCAUGCCCCUUAUGAUUUGGGCUACACACGUGCUACAAUGGAUAAUACAAAGGGCAGCGAAUCCGCGAGGCCAAGCAAAUCCCAUAAAAUUAUUCUCAGUUCGGAUUGUAGUCUGCAACUCGACUACAUGAAGCUGGAAUCGCUAGUAAUCGUAGAUCAGCAUGCUACGGUGAAUACGUUCCCGGGUCUUGUACACACCGCCCGUCACACCACGAGAGUUUGUAACACCCGAAGCCGGUGGAGUAACC